rnacentral:misc_RNA from 1 species
GAUGAAGAACGUAGUGAAAUGCGAUACUUGGUGUGAAUUGCAGAAUCCCGUGAACCAUCGAGUCUUUGAACGCAAGUUGCGCCCGAAGCCAUUAGGCCGAGGGCACGCCUGCCUGGGCGUCACACGUCGUUGCCCCCCCAUCUACUCCUUCGGGAUUGCGGGGGGCGGAUGAUGGCCUCCCGUGCGCCUCGCCGCGCGGUUGGCAUAAAUGCCAAGUCCUCGGCGACGCACGCCACGACAAUCGGUGGUUGCGAAACCUCGGUUGCCCGUCGUGUGCGGUCGUCGCGCAUCGAGGGCUCGAAAAAAUUGCUGGGUUCCGGCUCGGCUUUCAACGCGACCCCAGGUCAGGCGGGGUUACCCGCUGAAUUUAAGCAUAUCAAUAAGCGGAGGA